rnacentral:rRNA from 1 species
UACGUAGGUGGCAAGCGUUUGUCCGGAUUUAUUGGGUUUAAAGGGUGCGUAGGCGGUCUAUUAAGUCAGUGCUGAAAUAUCCCGGCUUAACCGGGAGGGUGGCAUUGAUACUGAUGGACUUGAGUGCAGUCGAGGUAGGCGGAAUUGACGGUGUAGCGGUGAAAUGCUUAGAUAUCGUCAAGAACACCGAUAGUGAAGACAGCUUACUAGACUGUAACUGACGCUGAGGCACGAAAAGUGUGGGGGAUCAAAACAGGGA